rnacentral:tRNA from 1 species
GCGGCCAUAGUUCAAUGGUAGAACUCCAGGCUUCCAUCCUGAUGAUGCGGGUUCGAUUCCCGCUGGCCGCUCCA